UACGUAGGGUGCAAGCGUUGUCCGGAAUUAUUGGGCGUAAAGAGUUCGUAGGCGGCUUGUCGCGUCGACCGUGAAAACUUGGGGCUCAACCCCAAGCCUGCGGUCGAUACGGGCAGGCUCGAGUUCGGUAGGGGAGACUGGAAUUCCUGGUGUAGCGGUGAAAUGCGCAGAUAUCAGGAGGAACACCGAUGGCGAAGGCAGGUCUCUGGGCCGAUACUGACGCUGAGGAGCGAAAGCGUGGGGAGCGAACAGG
rnacentral:rRNA from 1 species